GGAGGGAUGGCCGAGUGGUCGAAGGCGCCCGACUUGAAAUCGGGUAGGCCCCAUAAAGGUCUCGUGGGUUCGAAUCCCACUCCCUCCG
rnacentral:tRNA from 1 species